CUGUUGGACAAUUGUUUUGGCUUUAAAGGAGAAAGUCAUCGCUCUGUAAUUGGCACUUGGACUCCCCUGGCAUCUCGUGUACAGCAUGAAGUUUUCAGCUAUGAAGAUUUCAUGAGACUCCAGAAUUAAAAACAAGCCGUGAUGGAUGAGAACCAAGCUCUGAGGGAAAGCACUGCACGAGCAGCUUCGGAUGACAGCGGCUCACUUCAAGAGCAGGUGAAGCAAGUUGGGACAAUGUUGAGACGUUUGCUCGCAUCACUGG